CGCCGCGGGGCCGCUGGCUUGGGAAGGCGCUGCCGCCCCCGCGCGGAGGAACACGGGGGAAUCCAAGCCCCGCGGUUAAUGAGUCAUGAAGUGUGAGAACUUCCGGACCAAGGGGCCCCUGAUGCCAAUUCCAGAUGUGCAAGCGUUCCUGGUGCCCUAUUUCACGGCACCGACAAACGGAAUAUUACUUUUAAAACAGUAUGAAAUACCAGGUCCUGUCCUCGGAGCUAUUUCGGGGGAAUUCAAUUUUCGCUGAAUGAGGUGGAGUAGCCAGAGUGGGACAGAAAGGACCACCACUCCCACGUGCAGGCCCCGUGACACCCAGGAAGAGCCCCCAGGGAGUCCAGAAGAGAAACAGGAGCAGGGGUGGCCUGUGAGUCUUAUUUCCCCCCUGAUUUUAAACUAGAAACAACAAAAGAGGCUCAGACUGCAUUGGGGGCACCUGGGCUGCACCCCGCUUCACCCUUCUACCUGCCCUGUCACAGCCCUGGUGGAGCCUCCCUAAAGUGUGCGCCACUCACAUUGCUCCAGUUAGGGGACAGAGGCUGCCCUGCUGCAGCUCCGGAAAGCUCUUCAUCCCAGGCCCUCAUCACCCCGGACCUGCAAACACCCCCUCUCCAGUGUCCCGUCAACAAAUGCUUACUGGAGUUGGAGUUGAGACUUAAAAAAAAAAAAAAAAAGAUAACAAAGCGAUUUAAAGAUAAUUAAUUGCAUUAAACUAUUGACUAACUACCUCGCUCAAUAGUAAUUCAUUUAGAGAAUAUUAAAAUCGGAGGAACAAUAAUAAAAUUGAUGCCAAUUCCCACGGGGAGGGAGAAGGCCAGCAAAUUGGAUACUUUUCUUAAUCUGGCGUAAAUAAUAACAUGUCUGCUCCGUUCUCUCUCAGGCCAAUUCCCCUAUCAUUUAUUCCAGACUCCAAAGCCGGGUUUCAUAAUUGAUAUCAGUUACUCAAUGAGUGCUUUUUCAUUUGUUCUUGUUAUCCGUGAUAAUUGCGAAGUUCAGCCGCCUGCUCAGAGUUGGGGUGCUGCGUGGCCUGGUUCCUCCAGUGCAAGGCGGGGCUCGCAGAAGCAUCCUGUUUUUCAGUUUGGUUUUUUUUUAGCCCCAUCUUGAUCCUGGGUCCGUUGAGGAAGUGUGCCCCCCCCCCCCCGCACCGGGUCUAGAUGACCACCCUGAGCUGCCAGGCAGCGGUGGCAAGCCUAGGGUUAGGACCCGCUCUGAUCUGGAUUCCUUUUUUUCUAGCGGAGGGUGUGAGCACCAAUCCCAAACGACACGUGGGGAAAUGCAUGGAGCCUAGAGAGCGUUUGGGAGAGGGAGGAAAAGCAGGGUGCGGGGGU
rnacentral:lncRNA from 1 species